rnacentral:lncRNA from 1 species
AUCAUUAUUGAUAAAAUUGAUUAAUUAAUGUUUUAUUUGUGUUUGAGUGCAAGUAAUCCAAGAGACCCAAUAACAUUGGGUUUGAGCCCAAUGACCGGCAGCCCAAGCUCAACAAAUUCUCCAGCAUCCGUGAUGAGGCGAUCCAACGGUUCCUAACCUAAAAUUCCCACGCAUCCACGUCAACGGGCUGAAGCAAGUGAUUUCCCAACG